AACGUAGGAGACGAACGUUAUCCGGAGUUACUGGGCGUAAAGGGCGUGUAGGCGGUAUGUUAAGUCUGGCGUGAAAGCUCUCGGCUAAACCGGGAGAGGUCGUUGGAUACUGGCAAACUAGAGGAUGGUAGAGGCGUGUGGAAUUCCGGGUGUAGUGGUGAAAUGCGUAGAGAUCCGGAGGAACACCAGUGGCGAAGGCGACACGCUGGGCCAUACCUGACGCUAAAGCGCGACAGCAUGGGGAGCAAACGGG
rnacentral:rRNA from 1 species